rnacentral:rRNA from 1 species
UACGGAAGGUGCAAGCGUUGUUCGGAAUCAUUGGGCGUAAAGGGCGCGCAGGUGGUUCUGUAUGUCUGCCGUGAAAGCAUACAGCUCAACUGUAUUGUGUCGGUAGAAACUGCAGGACUUGAGGCUGGGAGGGGCUGGUGGAAUUCCCUGUGUAGCGGUGAAAUGCGUAGAGAUCAGGAAGAACACCGGUGGCGAAGGCGCUCUGCUAGGCCGCAACUGACACUGAGGGACGAAAGUUAGGGGAGCGAAUGGG